rnacentral:rRNA from 1 species
CCUACGGGUGGCAGCAGUCGAGAAUCAUUCACAAUGGGGGAAACCCUGAUGGGGCGACACCGCGUGGGGGAAUGAAGGUCUGCGGAUUGUAAACCCCUGUCAUGUGGGAGCAAAUUAAAAAGAUAGUACCACAAGAGGAAGAGACGGCUAACUCUGUGCCAGCAGCCGCGGUAAUACAGAGGUCUCAAGCGUUGUUCGGAACCACUGGGCGUAAAGCGUGCGUAGGCAGUUUCGUAAGUCGUGGGUGAAAGGUGCGGACUCAACCCGCGGACGGCACAUGAUCAUGCGAGACUAGAGUAAGGGAGUGGGAACCGGAAUUCUCGGUGUAGCAGUGAAAUGCGUAGAUAUCGAGAGGAACACUCGUGGCGAAGGCGGGUUCCUGGACAUUAACGGACGCUGAGGCACGAAGGCCAGGGGAGCGAAAAGGAUUAGAUACCCUUGUAGUC